rnacentral:rRNA from 1 species
UACGGGGGGGGCAAGCGUUGUUCGGAAUCACUGGGCGUAAAGGGUGCGUAGGCGGGUCUUUAAGUCAGGGGUGAAAUCCUGGAGCUCAACUCCAGAACUGCCUUUGAUACUGAAGAUCUUGAGUUCGGGAGAGGUGAGUGGAACUGCGAGUGUAGAGGUGAAAUUCGUAGAUAUUCGGAAGAACACCAGUGGCGAAGGCGGCUCACUGGCCCGGUACUGACGCUGAGAUACGAAAGCGUGGGGAGCAAACAGG